UUGACGGGACCCGCACAAGCGGUGGAUGAUGUGGUUUAAUUCGAUGCAACGCGAAAACCUUACCCACCUUUGACAUGUACGGAAUCCUUUAGAGAUAGAGGAGUGCUCGAAAGAGAGCCGUAACACAGGGUGCUGCAUGGCUGUCGUCAGCUCGUGUCGUGAGGUGUUGGGUUAAGUCCCGCAACGAGCGCAACCCUUGCCAUUAAUUGCCAUCAUUUAGUUGGGCACUUUAAUGGGACUGCCGGUGACAAACCGGAGGAAGGUGGGGAUGACGUCAAGUCCUCAUGGCCCUUAUGGCCAGGGCUUCACACGUAAUACAAUGGUCGGUACAGAGGGUUGCCAAGCCGCGAGGUGGAGCCAAUCCCAGAAAGCCGAUCGUAGUCCGGAUUGUAGUCUGCAACUCGACUACAUGAAGUCGGAAUCGCUAGUAAUCGCGGAUCAGCAUGUCGCGGUGAAUACGUUCCCGGGUCUU
rnacentral:rRNA from 1 species